rnacentral:lncRNA from 1 species
UCUACAGGCUGUAAUCAAAUUAAAUGGGUCUAAUUGAUCUAACAACCAAAGCUCACAUACCCUUGGCAAAAUCUGAUACAAAAUAUAGAAAUUUGGGUCCAUCGUCAACCGCGAAGGCACCCGACAGUCCAAAACAGUCUACACUAUACUGUAAAAUAAGUUUGGCAUCCCAGCACGAGCGUAAACUCAUCCUACAUUAAUCUGAAUAUCCACCGCAUGCGAACAACGGCGAUACAAACAAACCAUAACUCCUAAAGCUAAAUCUGGUAAUUUUUAGAAAAGUGACAGUGUAGGGUUCAAUAGUUUUCUCCUAAGUCAAAUCCAAGUCCAACAUGUAGAAUUAUUCUAAACUCUAAAUUCAGAUUCUAUACAACCUAUGCAAAUCCAUGAAUUGAGCUAUUUAAACAUAAU